rnacentral:rRNA from 1 species
AUUGAACGCUGGCGGCAGGCUUAACACAUGCAAGUCGAGCGAGCGGCGGACGGGUGAGCAAUGUCUGGGAAACUGCCUGAUGGAGGGGGAUAACUACUGGAAACGGUAGCCAAUACCGCAUACCAUCAGAUGUGCCCAGAUGGGAUUAGCAAGUAGGUGGGGGAAUGGCUCACCUAGGCGACGAUCCCCAGCUGGUCUGAGAGGAUGACCAGGCACACUGGAACUGAGACACGGUCCAAACUCCUGCGGGAGGCAGCAGUGGGGAAUAUUGCACGAUGGGCGCAAGCCUGAUGCAGCAAUGCGGCGUGUGUGAAGAAGGCCUUCGGGUUGUAAAGCACUUUCGGCGAGGAGGCGUUACUCGCAGAAGAAGCACCAGCUGACUCCGUGCCAGCAGCCGCGGUAAUAC